rnacentral:rRNA from 1 species
UACGGAGGGUGCAAGCGUUAUCCGGAUUCACUGGGUUUAAAGGGUGCGUAGGCGGGUAAGUAAGUCCGUGGUGAAAUCUCUGAGCUUAACUCAGAAACUGCCGUGGAUACUAUUUGCCUUGAAUAUUGUGGAGGUGAGCGGAAUAUGUCAUGUAGCGGUGAAAUGCUUAGAUAAGACAUAGAACACCAAUUGCGAAGGCAGCUCACUACACAAUCAUUGACGCUGAGGCACGAAAGCGUGGGGAUCAAACAGG